CGUAGGUGAACCUGCGGAAGGAUCAUUGUCGCUGACUCGGGAAAAUAUGACCGGAGCACGUGUGAUAGAGCAAUCGCCGGGGCGGCGGUGCCGCGCCGGCUUCACCAGCCCGGUCCUCGCGCCCUCCGGCGCGCUGGCCGCGUGCUGAAAAUGGCGUGGGUCGACGCCAAGGAACACCCGACGCGGAGGCGGCGGCGCGGCGCGUCGAGCGUCGUGCCCGCUGUCGAUGCCGAGGAAAGAAAAGAAAAAGGAAAAUACGAUGACUCUCGGCAACGGAUAUCUCGGCUCUCGCAUCGAUGAAGAACGUAGCGAAAUGCGAUACGUGGUGUGAAUUGCAGAAUCCCGCGAACCAUCGAGUUUUUGAACGCAAGUUGCGCCCGAGGGACCUGCCGAGGGCACGCCUGCCUCAUGGGCGUCAUACGCCUAUCGACGCCCAGGAUCCCGGCCCUGUUCCUCGUGACGGGUCAGUCCUGAUGCGGAUCGUGGCCCUCCGAGCCCGACGGCGCGGCGGGCCCAAGUGUGCCUCGGUCGGAUGUGGCCGGGAGCGGCGAGUGGUGGGUUCUGCUCGCGCUGCCCCGUGCCUUUUCCCGGCGUCGGGCGUUUUGUCGGACCCACGGACGAGGAAGGAGGAUGUUGGCCUCCUCGGACCAAUACCCCAGGUCAGGCGGGGCUACCCGCCGAGUUUAAGCAUA
rnacentral:misc_RNA from 1 species